UGGUCAAGUCUUAACUUAUCCAUUUCUGUAUUGCAUUUGUGUUUGAUAUUUCUCAUGGGUAUUUCAUAAUUUUCGACUUUGAGUUAAAACAGUUUGAGUUAAAACUCUUUUUUAGCGCAUUUCAUCUGUAAAAGAAAACAUGCCUAAUAAUUCUGCACAUGAAUAUAAGGAGUUUUUCUCUUCCAGCUUUCCUGGACUAUUGUAUAGCACUUAUAAAUGAUUAAAUAAAAAAUAAUGGUAGUUAUUAAGAUUGAUAUGGUUUGGAAUUGGUAAAAUGUGCUUGGAAAAAAAUCACAAUAAAACAAUGUUUUAAUGUUUAAGUUUGGAAUAUUAACUGACAUAAAUUAAUGCUAUAUAAAUAUUGUUCAUGUUAACAUAAUGUUUAUAAAUAAAAUCUUAUUGUAAAGUGUUACUAAAUAUAUAUAUAUGUUUGGGGAAUAUAUAUGUAUAUUGUAUAUUGUAUUAUUGAAUGUGAUUUUAAAGUCUAGAUGAUUCGGAUUAACCCUUUAACCGCCAUAUUCUUUAAAACCUCACUGCCAGAGGGAUAUUGUGAAUGCAUGUGCCCGCUGGACACAGUUUACCUGAUGCCACCGGGGUGGUGAUGGCAUUGGUGGCUUGAGCCCGCCAUCGCUGCUUGCAGCUAUAUUUAUUAUUAUUUAGGGCUCAAGCCUGGAGGGCGAGAGCCCUAUUGUUUUCCUUAGGAUUAUUUUUUAUUAUUAUUAUUAUUUUUUUCCAACGUUACGGGGGCUUUUGGGGUCCUUAACAUGCUCGAAAACUCUUGAAAAUUGGCACACACCUUGGAACCUGCGGCCAUUAGGGCUGGGCAGAGACAGAUAUACGGGCGUGGCACAGGGGCUCUACAGCGCCCCCUGGAAUACUGAGGGCCAUAUAUCAUACAUACUUGCACGUAGACACACGAAACUCGGUACACAUGUAGAUCUCAUCAAACCAAACAACUUUCGUACUGCAUGUCAUAGGCUCCGCCCAACAGGAAGUUGGUUAUUUAGGGUUUAGUAUUCAUAUUUUUCGUCAAAGUUGUGGGGGCUUUUGGGGUCCUUAACAUACUCAAAAACUCUUGAAAAUUUGCGCACACUUUGGAAUCUGUGGCCUUUAGGAGCCUGCAGAGGCUGGGACCCGGGCGUGGCACAAGGGCUCUACGGCGCCCCCUGGAUCACAGUCAGAAAUGUUGAUGUAUAGCUCACACAUACUCACACAUAUGCAUAUGAAACUCAGUACACAUAUAGAUCUCAUCGUGCCGAACAACUUUCGUAUUGCAUGUCAUAGGCUCCGCCCAACAGGAAGUCAGCUAUUUAGAGUUAUGUAAAAAGCGCAUGCUCUGGAAUUUGAAAUACUUGUCAUAGGUUUUUUUCUCGAUUGCCGCCAAACUCGGUCAACAUGAUCUCAAGACACUGGGGAUGAAAAAUUGCCAGGGGAUUUUUGAUAUCUCGAACGGUUUGCUCGUGGCGAGGCGUUGAAAUUAUGGCGAGAAAUGAGAAACAGGAAGUGUCUAAUACCGUCCACAUACAUUUCCUGAUUUUAAUCAAACUUCAUCAGAUUAUUCGUUGUAUGAUGUCGAUCGCAUAUAUGUGACCAUUAGGAGUCAAAGUUAUAGCGCCACCAACUGGCAGAAGGAAGUGUGUCAUUUUCAAAAUGAUUUGAAUUCAGCAUCUUAUUAUUACUCGAUUUGCUUCAAACUUCAUCAUAAUAAUGUUAAAACACAGCCGAUAUAAAUCUGCAAGGGGGAUAUUGAUAUCUAAAAAAUUGUUGGCGUGGCAACAUGUCAAACUGGAAUACUUCUCAGGUGAUUUUGAGGCAAAUAACAUACUUAGAAUUUCACAAAACUCUGAACACACAUCAGUAUUUCUGAUAGGAACUUAAAUUGUGAAUGGAUUUUGGAUAGCUUGAAUGGUUUUGCCGUGGUGAUUUUUUUAAAUGACCUUACAAAGGGAAUCAUUAUUGUAUUUUUAAAUUGCAGCUUCCAAACACGUCAAAGAAUUUUUUCAUACAGAUGAAAAAGUCAUUCUGAGGAAAUAUGCAUAGUUUAACGACUUUACAACACUGUAUGGAUAACAGAAAAUUAAAAAACUGUCAGACAUCUCAUCUCACUCUGUCCCUCUGUUUUAGUAUAUGUGCUUCAGACUUCCAUUGUCUGAGAGAAAUUGCGCCCCUACAGGUUCAAUUCCCGGACUUUUACUUUCACUUUUAAAUCGGUUAAAAAUACAAACAAAUACUUAGAUUUAAUUCACACUGACAAGCUAAACCAACAUAUCUGAUUAUUACCGGUUCAGGGCUCAUGGAUAAAUUAUUUCUGGCCAGAGAUACGUGAGAAAUAGGAGAGAUGAAUCACCGCUGUGACCACGAGCGUCUGGAGUAAAGAGCUCAGAAAAAACGAAUUUAUUCCUGUUUUAAAGCUUUUAAAAAUAAAUUAUUACAGCGAUAUCACACAAUCAACCAAUUAGAACACACCAAGAGCUAAAUUCAGAUGUUUUUGAACUGUUUGUGUGAAAAUGAAAUAUUUGUGGCUGCCUAUCUGAAAUCACGCCUCCGAUCAGCGCGUACAGUGUCGAGCUCAAAACAAACGAAUUUAUUCUUGUUUAAGAGCUUUUUUAAAUAAAAUAUUACCACAAAUGCACACAAUAAACCCAUUGUAACACUACAAGAGCUAAAUGCAGGUGUUUGUGACCUGUUUAAGUGCGCAAGACUAUUUGAAAGCGCGACUGGCAGAAUAACAUAUCUCUCGAGCUGCAGGAUUCUGUCUUUCGUCGUACGAACGAACACAUCACGGACAAGAUUAUUUCAAAAUACAUAAUAGCUUGGCGAAUAUAAACGAAAACAGCCACGUGAACAUAAACUGGAUCUACUGGAUUUGAAUAUUAAAGUGACCACAUUUACCACUUGCUUCUGUCUUCAAUUUUAAUCUAUAUAAAAAAGGAAACUCAUUCGACUUGGCUGCUUUUUUAAUGUGUGCGUAUUUAUUUAUUUACCUUUUUAUACAUUUUGUAUAAUUUCAUAGUUUGUGUAUUACAAUUAUGAAAACAAAAAUAAAUUUAGCCACUCACAUAGAAAUAGCUUAGGCCUUAACCUUUUUCUGUCAGUUUUAGGGAUUUUUAAAAAUCCUAAAAAAAACUUAUUUGUGCUGCAAAUAAUAAUUUCAAACUCAUUUGAUACUGACCUAUGACAUCCUGUGACAUUAUAUUUAUUUGAAUUUACAUAAUCUCAUAGAUGUAACAGUAAAUCUGUUCAGCUCACAGAUCAAUACUAAGCUGUAAUGCAAGCAGAACUUUCACAAAUGCUUAUGAGUCAUUUAAGGAUUUGAUAACACUGUAAAAUAAUGUCUAAUUUGUUAACAUUAGCAAAUUCAUUGAUAACACUUUAUAAUAACUGCACUCAUUAGUAAAUAGUCAGUUCAUGCUUUAUAAAGCCUUGUCCCAAUA